rnacentral:rRNA from 1 species
AAAAGCGGAGGAAAAGAAACCAACUGGGAUUACCUUAGUAACGGCGAGUGAAGCGGUAAAAGCUCAAAUUUGAAAUCUGGUACUUUCAGUGCCCGAGUUGUAAUUUGUAGAAUUUGUCUUUGAUUAGGUCCUUGUCUAUGUUCCUUGGAACAGGACGUCAUAGAGGGUGAGAAUCCCGUUUGGCGAGGAUACCUUUUCUCUGUAAGACUUUUUCGAAGAGUCGAGUUGUUUGGGAAUGCAGCUCAAAGUGGGUGGUAAAUUCCAUCUAAAGCUAAAUAUUGGCGAGAGACCGAUAGCGAACAAGUACAGUGAUGGAAAGAUGAAAAGAACUUUGAAAAGAGAGUGAAAAAGUACGUGAAAUUGUUGAAAGGGAAGGGCAUUUGAUCAGACAUGGUGUUUUUUGCAUGCACUCGCCUCUCGUGGGCUUGGGCCUCUCAAAAAUUUCACUGGGCCAACAUCAAUUCUGGCAGCAGGAUAAAUCAUUAAGAAUGUAGCUACUUCGGUAGUGUUAUAGCUUUUUGGAAUACUGUUAGCCGGGAUUGAGGACUGCGCUUCGGCAAGGAUGUUGGCAUAAUGGUUAAAUGCCGCCCGUCUUGACCC